CAUAGAUAUAUCAUAACUUCUCAUGGUUUAUCAUUUAAUCCUUAUUCUCUUACUAUCCAUAUGGUUCAUGUGUCUACCAGAUAUACUUUUCAUGUUGCCCCAAAUUCACAUGAUUAUAAUAUUAUGGGGCAUACACACUAAAUCUUGGGAAGAGGCACAAUACGAAGUAUGUUAAAUCCUUAGAGAAAGUAUGAAUUAGCCCCUAUACUACUCUGUAAUAUUGUAAUUUGUCACCUCUUUGAUUAGUCUAUAUGGUACAAGAAACUCAUACUAUGCCAUUGUAUGAAAAUCUCGAAAGUUAACCUGCAAAAAGGUUUCAAGGAAUCACAAAACAACAUAGAAGAAAGUCAAAAGAAUAGAGCAGAGCCAUGUGUAGGGUUUUGAGAUGAUUUUUCCUGAAACUAAGCGGAUUCCAUAGUGAUUUUUUUUUAUAAAGAAGUUGCGUCAAAUUGUUUCGCCUCCUGCGUUUUUUUGAGCUUUACCCUGAAUUUUUAUUGGAUCGAAGAAGGUUGUCAAGAAAAAAACGUUCUUUUUUAGGGUUUCUGAGUGUGGGUGUAGGUCUAUGUAGUCUUGUGACAUUGGUCAUUGUCGCAUGCUUUGUUUCUUUCCCAUUGAACUCUUCUGCUUCUCUAGGGUUUCUAGAUCACAAGGCUGAAAUCCGAGGCACAAAUUUCUAGAGGAGACCACAACAAGGAUUUGAUGGCCUGUCAAUCAUCAGAGAAUAAUAGUUUGACCAUGAAGGCAUUGGAUGGUUUAGAGAUGAGCAGGGGAAAUGUUAUGGUGAGUCAGGUUCAUGGUUUUGUGAAUGGUGUGAAUGUUGGAGGCUUCUCAAAUUUAACCAAAGAAGGAUGAGCUGAAAAUGAAGCAAAGGCUAGGGAAUUUACUAAUAGCGAGAAUGAAGAGGGCCUCCAAAGAGCUGGUUGAUUCUAGAUUGCUGCUGAAAAAUGUUAAACUGCAGAUUCUCAGGCUUCACAAAAAAGACUUGUUUUGUUUAACCCAGUAGCAAAGAUAUAUCAAAUUUUGAUUGUAAGCCAUAUAUGUAUGUUGUAUGUUGUCAUGUUGCUGGUUAUGAUUUUGUAAGAGAGGUUUAUACUUUAUUUGAAUAUUGUCAUGUUGCUGGUUAUGAUUUUGUAAAAGAGGUUUAUACUUUAUUUGAAUAUUUUAUUGCUGAUUUAAGUGGACAA